UAUUAUGAGAGUUUGAUCCUGGCUCAGGACGAACGCUGGCGGCGUGCCUAAUACAUGCAAGUCGAACGCUUCUUUCCUCCCGAGUGCUUGCACUCAAUUGGAAAGAGGAGUGGCGGACGGGUGAGUAACACGUGGGUAACCUACCCAUCAGAGGGGGAUAACACUUGGAAACAGGUGCUAAUACCGCAUAACAGUUUAUGCCGCAUGGCAUAAGAGUGAAAGGCGCUUUCGGGUGUCGCUGAUGGAUGGACCCGCGGUGCAUUAGCUAGUUGGUGAGGUAACGGCUCACCAAGGCCACGAUGCAUAGCCGACCUGAGAGGGUGAUCGGCCACACUGGGACUGAGACACGGCCCAGACUCCUACGGGAGGCAGCAGUAGGGAAUCUUCGGCAAUGGACGGAAGUCUGACCGAGCAACGCCGCGUGAGUGAAGAAGGUUUUCGGAUCGUAAAACUCUGUUGUUAGAGAAGAACAAGGACGUUAGUAACUGAACGUCCCCUGACGGUAUCUAACCAGAAAGCCACGGCUAACUACGUGCCAGCAGCCGCGGUAAUACGUAGGUGGCAAGCGUUGUCCGGAUUUAUUGGGCGUAAAGCGAGCGCAGGCGGUUUCUUAAGUCUGAUGUGAAAGCCCCCGGCUCAACCGGGGAGGGUCAUUGGAAACUGGGAGACUUGAGUGCAGAAGAGGAGAGUGGAAUUCCAUGUGUAGCGGUGAAAUGCGUAGAUAUAUGGAGGAACACCAGUGGCGAAGGCGGCUCUCUGGUCUGUAACUGACGCUGAGGCUCGAAAGCGUGGGGAGCAAACAGGAUUAGAUACCCUGGUAGUCCACGCCGUAAACGAUGAGUGCUAAGUGUUGGAGGGUUUCCGCCCUUCAGUGCUGCAGCAAACGCAUUAAGCACUCCGCCUGGGGAGUACGACCGCAAGGUUGAAACUCAAAGGAAUUGACGGGGGCCCGCACAAGCGGUGGAGCAUGUGGUUUAAUUC
rnacentral:rRNA from 1 species